UACGGGGGGAGCAAGCGUUGUUCGGAUUUACUGGGCGUAAAGGACGCGUAGGCGGCCACUGCAAGUCAGUUGUGAAAUCUCCGGGCUUAACCCGGAAAGGUCAACUGAUACUGCAGGGCUAGAGUGCAGAAGGGGCAACUGGAAUUCUCGGUGUAGCGGUGAAAUGCGUAGAUAUCGAGAGGAACACCUGCGGCGAAGGCGGGUUGCUGGGCUGACACUGACGCUGAUGUGCGAAAGCUAGGGGAGCGAACGGG
rnacentral:rRNA from 1 species